rnacentral:rRNA from 1 species
UACGUAGGGUGCGAGCGUUGUCCGGAAUUACUGGGCGUAAAGGGCUCGUAGGUGGCCAACUAAGUCAGACGUGAAAUCCCUCAGCUUAACUGGGGAACUGCGUCUGAUACUGGAUGGCUUGAGUUUGGGAGAGGGAUGCGGAAUUCCAGGUGUAGCGGUGAAAUGCGUAGAUAUCUGGAGGAACACCGGUGGCGAAGGCGGCAUCCUGGACCAAUACUGACACUGAGGAGCGCAAGCCAGGGGAGCAAACGGG